rnacentral:lncRNA from 1 species
ACAGGAGAAGAUGGAUAAUGUUGUUCAUAUUAUAAGGAAAAGGAACGGGCAUUUGAGGCAAGAUGGGGAUGAGAUUGAGCUCGAUAUCGAGGCAAUGGAUACGGAGACACUGUGGGAGUUGGAUCGGUUCGUCACUAAUUAUAAGAAGAUGGUCAGCAAGAUCAAGCGACAAGCUUUGAUGGCAAACAAUGUUGCAUCUAAUGACAGCAAUAGGGUAAGCGCUAACCAUAUUGUGAUUGUUUUAUAUGAAUUUGAUGAUUUGUAUUUGUAAAUUAAUUAGAGAAUGAUGGAAAUUACAGAGAGAAACAACUGUGGAGAAGAUGGAUGUUGCAAUGGAUAUGAAGAAGCCGAAGAAAGGUGAUGCCGGCGAUGAAGAUGUUGACAUCGGGGAUGAAAUGCCAAUGAGCAGUUUUCCACCUGUGGAGAUCGAGA